UUGAUAGCUCUACGGCGGUCUCAACACAGCAAGUCGAGCGGAAACGAGUUUCAGAACCUCGGGGGAACGAUAACGGCGUCGAGCGGCGGACGGGUGAGUAAUGCCUAGGAAAUUGCCCUGAUGUGGGGGAUAACCAUUGGAAACGAUGGCUAAUACCGCAUGAUGCCUACGGGCCAAAGAGGGGGACCUUCGGGCCUCUCGCGUCAGGAUAUGCCUAGGUGGGAUUAGCUAGUUGGUGAGGUAAGGGCUCACCAAGGCGACGAUCCCUAGCUGGUCUGAGAGGAUGAUCAGCCACACUGGAACUGAGACACGGUCCAGACUCCUACGGGAGGCAGCAGUGGGGAAUAUUGCACAAUGGGCGCAAGCCUGAUGCAGCCAUGCCGCGUGUGUGAAGAAGGCCUUCGGGUUGUAAAGCACUUUCAGUCGUGAGGAAGGUAGUGUCGUUAAUAGCGGCAUUACUUGACGUUAGCGACAGAAGAAGCACCGGCUAACUCCGUGCCAGCAGCCGCGGUAAUA
rnacentral:rRNA from 1 species